UUUUUAUUCUUUAUUUCUUUAUUUAAUCCAUUCUUUUAUUAAUGAUUUUAUUUAUUUUUAAUCAAAGUCACAUUUUUAGUAUAAUUCUGGUUAUAAAACUGAUUAGGGUUAAAAUGUCUUUAGAUUUAAAAUGUGAGUCAUUCUAGUCAGCCAUCAAUUACAAGAGUCAUUUAAGUUAUUAAUCCUAAGUUAUGAGUCAAUCUGAGCAAAAUUCAGUAUAAAUUUUUUAAAAUCCCUUGUAAAUCUUUUAAAACCCUUUUAAAAUCUAUUUCCCGCCAGAAAUAUUUACAAGGAUUUUUAAAAUCAUGUUUUUGGCGGGAAAAAUAAAAUUUGGCGCCAAAAAAUUUGCGGGAAAAUAAAUUUUGGCGCCAAAAAAAUUGCGGAAAAAAUAAAUUUUGGCGCCAAAAAAUUGGCGGGAAAAUUUCAGUUUCCAAUUACAUGUUCCUAUCAGAUGAGGGUAAUUUGGUCAUUUUAUUCAAGGGAAGUGGUAUUUUUAAAAAUGGACAACAUUAAAGGGUAUUGUUGCAAUAGGGUAGUAAAAAAAGGGUAGUUUUGCAAAUCUCCCUUAUAAUUUAGCUUGAAUGAAAAAAAAUAAAAGAAGAAUGUAGCUUUAAAUGAGAGAUUUGUAAACAGAGGGAGUGAAGAAAUGUUUUAUAUUUUUAUUACCUUUUAUAUAUUAGAAAAGGAUAAUGUCAACAAUCAUACUAUUAUUAUU
rnacentral:sRNA from 1 species